GACGUAGGGCGCGAGCGUUGUCCGGAUUUACUGGGCGUAAAGCGCGCGUAGGCGGCUUUUCAAGUCGAUUGUGAAAUCCCCGGGCUUAACCUGGGAACUGCAGUCGAGACUGUCUAGCUAGAGUAUGGGAGAGGGAAGUGGAAUUUCAGGUGUAGCGGUGAAAUGCGUAGAUAUCUGAAGGAACAUCAGUGGCGAAAGCGACUUCCUGGACCAAUACUGACGCUCAUGUGCGAAAGCGUGGGGAGCAAACAGGG
rnacentral:rRNA from 1 species